UACGAAGGGGGCUAGCGUUGUUCGGAAUCACUGGGCGUAAAGCGCACGUAGGCGGUCUGUCGCGUCUGCUGUGAAAACUCGGGGCUUAACCCCGGGCCUGCAGUGGGUACGGGCAGACUAGAGUGCGGUAGGGGAGACUGGAAUUCCUGGUGUAGCGGUGAAAUGCGCAGAUAUCAGGAGGAACACCGGUGGCGAAGGCGGGUCUCUGGGCCGAUACUGACGCUGAGGAGCGAAAGCGUGGGGAGCAAACAGG
rnacentral:rRNA from 1 species